UCUCUUGUUUUUCUCUCUCUCUCUCUCUCUUUUUUUUGUUUUUUCUUAAGAAUUUAUCAUAAUGAGUGGUGGAGGUAAAGGCGGAAAGGGAGGAAAGGGAGGAAAGGUUGUUGACAAGAAAGAAGGAAAG
rnacentral:ribozyme from 1 species